GAUGAAGAACGUAGCGAAAUGCGAUAAGUAAUGUGAAUUGCAGAAUUCAGUGAAUCAUCGAAUCUUUGAACGCACAUUGCGCCCAUUAGCAUUCUAGUGGGCAUGCCUGUUCGAGCGUCAUUUCAACCCUUAAGCCCUGUUGCUUAGCGUUGGGAGCCUAGAGUACUGUAGCUCCCCAAAGUUAGUGGCGGAGUCGGUUUCACACUCUAGACGUAGUAAUUUUUUCUCGUCUGUAGUUGAGCCGGUCCCCUGCCGUAAAACACCCAAUUUAUCAAGGUUGACCUCGGAUCAGGUAGGAAUACCCGCUGAACUUAAGCAUAUCAAUAAGCGGAGGA
rnacentral:misc_RNA from 1 species